rnacentral:rRNA from 1 species
AUACGUAGGGGGCUAGCGUUAUCCGGAAUUACUGGGCGUAAAGGGUGCGUAGGUGGUUUCUUAAGUCAGAGGUGAAAGGCUACGGCUCAACCGUAGUAAGCCUUUGAAACUGGGAAACUUGAGUGCAGGAGAGGAGAGUGGAAUUCCUAGUGUAGCGGUGAAAUGCGUAGAUAUUAGGAGGAACACCAGUAGCGAAGGCGGCUUCCUGGUCUGUAACUGACACUGAGGCGCGAAAGCGUGGGGAGC